rnacentral:sRNA from 1 species
CACCGCCUGGGGAGUACGACCGCAAGGUUAAAACUCAAAUGAAUUGACGGGGACCCGCACAAGCAGUGGAGCAUGUGGUUUAAUUCGAAGAUACGCGCAGAACCUUACCAACACUUGACAUGUUCGUCGCGAACCCAAGAGAUUAGGUUUUCAUUUAGUUGGACGAAACACAGGUGCUGCAUGGCUGUCGUCAGCUCGUGUCGUGAGAUGUUGGGUUAAGUCCCGCAACGAGCGCAACCCUUACUUUUAGUUGCCACCAUUUAGUUGAGCACUCUAAAAGAACUGCCAGUGAUAAGCUGGAGGAAGGCGGGGAUGACGUCAAGUCCUCAUGGCCCUUACGUGUUGGGCUACACACGUGCUACAAUGGCACUUACAAUGAGAAGCGAAGAGGCGACUCCAAGCCAAACUCAAAAAUGUGCCUCAGUUCGGAUUGUACUCUGCAACUCGAGUACAUGAAGCUGGAAUUGCUAGUAAUCGCGGAUCAGCGCGCCGCGGUGAAUACGUUCCCGGGUCUUGUACACACCGCCCGUCACACCAUGGAAGUUGGUUACACCUGAAGGCAAAACGUAAAACUUUUGACUACGGUACGAUCAGCGACUGGGGUGAAGUCGUAACAAGGUAGCCGUAGGGGAACCUGCGGCUGGAUCACCUCCUUUCUAAGGAAAUCGAAAAAUAUUAAAACAAUUAUUUUCGAUUUAAAAAAAACCGGUAAUGUGACCGUCCUCAUUUCUCUUCUUUUAAUGUCUCUGAGUAUGAAAUAAGGGGCCGGUAGCUCAGGUGGUUAGAGCGCACCCCUGAUAAGGGUGAGGUCGGAAGUUCGAGUCUUCCUCGGCCCACCAAUAUUAAGGGGGAUUAGCUCAGCUGGGAGAGCGCCUGAUUUGCAUUCAGGAGGUCAGCGGUUCGAUCCCGCUAUCCUCCACCAAAAUUGAGACAUUUAGCUUUUUUAAAUUGUAAAUAUUAUUAUCAAUAUCUAUAUCCGAUUGUUUUCAAAAAUUUUUUGAAAGCAAUCAAAACAAAAAUUUAAUUUAUUACAGAAAAAAUUUUUUUCUG